rnacentral:rRNA from 1 species
UGAGGAAUAUUGGUCAAUGGGUGCAGGCCUGAACCAGCCAAGUAGCGUGAAGGAUGACUGCCCUAUGGGUUGUAAACUUCUUUUAUAAAGGAAUAAAGUCGGGUAUGUAUACCCGUUUGCAUGUACUUUAUGAAUAAGGAUCGGCUAACUCCGUGCCAGCAGCCGCGGUAAUACGGAGGAUCCGAGCGUUAUCCGGAUUUAUUGGGUUUAAAGGGAGCGUAGAUGGAUGUUUAAGUCAGUUGUGAAAGUUUGCGGCUCAACCGUAAAAUUGCAGUUGAUACUGGAUAUCUUGAGUGCAGUUGAGGCAGGCGGAAUUCGUGGUGUAGCGGUGAAAUGCUUAGAUAUCACGAAGAACCCCGAUUGCGAAGGCAGCCUGCUAAACCGCCACUGACGUUGAGGCUCGAAAGUGUGGGUAUCAAACAGGAUUAGAUACCCUGGUCGUCCACACGGUAAACGAUGGAUACUCGCUGUUGGCGAUAGACUGUCAGCGGCUUAGCGAAAGCGUUAAGUAUCCCACCUGGGGAGUACGCCGGCAACGGUGAAACUCAAAGGAAUUGACGGGGGCCCGCACAAGCGGAGGAACAUGUGGUUUAAUUCGAUGAUACGCGAGGAACCUUACCCGGGCUUGAAUUGCAGACGAAUUGCUUGGAAACAGGCAAGCCGCAAGGCGUCUGUGAAGGUGCUGCAUGGUUGUCGUCAGCUCGUGCCGUGAGGUGUCGGCUUAAGUGCCAUAACGAGCGCAACCCUCGUGUCCAGUUACUAGCAGGUUAUGCUGAGGACUCUGGACAGACUGCCAUCGUAAGAUGUGAGGAAGGUGGGGAUGACGUCAAAUCAGCACGGCCCUUACGUCCGGGGCUACACACGUGUUACAAUGGGGGGUACAGCAGGCAGCUACCGGGCGACCGGAUGCCAAUCCCGAAAGCCUCUCUCAGUUCGGACUGGAGUCUGCAACCCGACUCCACGAAGCUGGAUUCGCUAGUAAUCGCGCAUCAGCCACGGCGCGGUGAAUACGUUCCC